CCUGGCUCAGGACGAACGCUGGCGGCGUGCUUAACACAUGCAAGUCGAACGAUGAACCACUUCGGUGGGGUUAGUGGCGAACGGGUGAGUAACACGUGGGCAAUCUGCCCUGCACUCUGGGACAAGCCCUGGAAACGGGGUCUAAUACCGGAUACUGAUCCUCGCAGGCAUCUGCGAGGUUCGAAAGCUCCGGCGGUGCAGGAUGAGCCCGCGGCCUAUCAGCUAGUUGGUGAGGUAACGGCUCACCAAGGCGACGACGGGUAGCCGGCCUGAGAGGGCGACCGGCCACACUGGGACUGAGACACGGCCCAGACUCCUACGGGAGGCAGCAGUGGGGAAUAUUGCACAAUGGGCGAAAGCCUGAUGCAGCGACGCCGCGUGAGGGAUGACGGCCUUCGGGUUGUAAACCUCUUUCAGCAGGGAAGAAGCGAAAGUGACGGUACCUGCAGAAGAAGCGCCGGCUAACUACGUGCCAGCAGCCGCGUUUAAU
rnacentral:rRNA from 1 species